AAACUAAUUUAUUUUGGCGGCAUUCAAUUUAAUUAGAGGAAUUUGUUUUUUAAUCGACAAUACACGCUAAAUUUAAUUUUAAUUAAUAAUUUAUAUACCGCCAUCUAAAGAAUUAAUCAAAAAAUAUAUUUCAAAAAAAAAAAUAAAAAGUUAGGUCANGGUGUANUUUAUAUUAAANAUAUANAUGAAUUACNUUAAANAUAAUUUAANGAAUAUUAAUNAAUAUAUUUAUACAAAUAAAAAUUUAAAAGUAAUAUUAAAAUAAUAUAAUAUGAUAUAAAUUAUAAAUGGGCACACAUCGCCC
rnacentral:rRNA from 1 species